AUAUUGCACAAUGGGCGCAAGCCUGAUGCAGCAACGCCGCGUGAGGGAUGACGGCCUUCGGGUUGUAAACCUCUUUUAGUAGGGAAGAAGCCUUCGGGUGACGGUACCUGCAGAAAAAGCACCGGCUAACUACGUGCCAGCAGCCGCGGUAAUACGUAGGGUGCAAGCGUUGUCCGGAAUUAUUGGGCGUAAAGAGCUCGUAGGCGGCUUGUCGCGUCUGCUGUGAAAUCCCGGAGCUCAACUCCGGGCCUGCAGUGGGUACGGGCAGGCUAGAGUGCGGUAGGGGAGAUUGGAAUUCCUGGUGUAGCGGUGGAAUGCGCAGAUAUCAGGAGGAACACCGAUGGCGAAGGCAGAUCUCUGGGCCGCUACUGACGCUGAGGAGCGAAAGCAUGGGGAGCGAACAGG
rnacentral:rRNA from 1 species